rnacentral:rRNA from 1 species
UACGUAGGGCGCAAGCGUUGUCCGGAAUUAUUGGGCGUAAAGAGCUCGUAGGCGGCGUGUCGCGUCGGUUGUGAAAGCCCGGGGCUUAACUUCGGGUCUGCAGUCGAUACGGGCAUGCUUGAGUUCGGUAGGGGAGGAUCGGAAUUCCUGGAUGUGAGACGGUGGAAAUACGGCAGAUAUCAGGAGGAACACCAAUGGCGAAGGCAGCUCGCUGGAACGGUACUGACGCUGAGGCGCGAAAGCGUGGGGAGCGAACAGG